rnacentral:rRNA from 1 species
CCUACGGGAGGCAGCAGUGGGGGAUAUUGGACAAUGGACGAAAGCCUGACCCAGCGACGCCGCGUGAGGGAAGAAGGAUUUCGGGUUGUAAAGCUCUUUUAGCAGGGAAGAAAGAAAGGACGUUACCCGACUAAGAACCCCGGCUAACUACGUGCCAGCAGCCGCGGUAAUACGGAGGGGGCAAGCGGUGUCCGGACUCACUGGGUGUAAAGGGCGCGCAGGCGGUGAGGCAAGUCAGAUGUGAAAGGCGGGGGCGCAACCCGGGAACUGCAUUUGAAACUGCGUGGCUAGAGUGUGGGAGAGGUAGGUGGAAUUCGUGGUGUAGGGGUGAAAUGCGUAGAUAUAAGGAGGAACACCAGUGGCGAAGGCGGCUUACUGGACGAUGACUGACGGUGAGGCGCGAAAGCGUGGGGAGCAAACAGGAUUAGAUACCCGUGUAGUC